rnacentral:tRNA from 1 species
GGUAUCAUAUCGGGUAGUGGUUAUCACAUCUGCUUUACACGCAGAAGGCCGCCAGUUCGUUCCUGGCCGGAAUCA